GGAAGGAUCAUUAUCGUAUGAUAGAGGUGCUGGGGUUGUCGCUGACUUUUGAAAGGGUCGUGCACGCCUCGGUGCUCUCGCACAUAAUCCAUCUCACCCCUUUUGUGCACCACCGCGUGGGGACCCCCUUUUGGCUAGUUCCGAGGGGGGGUUUCACGUUUUUAUACAGACACCCCUUUUAAUGCAAUGUGUAGAAUGUGCUACUUUUUGCGAUCACACGCAAUCAAUACAACUUUCAACAACGGAUCUCUUGGCUCUCGCAUCGAUGAAGAACGCAGCGAAAUGCGAUACGUAAUGUGAAUUGCAGAAUUCAGUGAAUCAUCGAAUCUUUGAACGCACCUUGCGCCCUUUGGCAUUCCGAGGGGCACACCCGUUUGAGUGUCGUGACAUUCUCAAAACCUUCUUGGUUUCUUGACCGGGAAGGCUUUUGGACUUUGGAGGCUUUUGCUGGCUUUCCUUUAUUGGAGCCAGCUCCUCUGAAAUGGAUUAGUAGGGUCUGCUUUGCCGAUCCUUGACGUGAUAAGAUGUUUUCUACGUCUCGGGUUCUGCACUCCUGCUUCUAACCGUCUCACAGAAGACAAAUGGUCAAAGUGAUUGCCACUUUGACCCACGAACCUUGACCUCAAAUCGGG
rnacentral:rRNA from 1 species